CACGAACAUCACGUAAUGGCUAAACGAACGCUCUCGUGCAAUAACUUCACGUCGAACUGAAAGUCUAACGACUAGAAAUGAGGUUGCCUACCUGAAUGAUGUGGCAAGUGACUAAGGUUCAGGCCUACUUGGAAGUCCCACCCCGUAACCCGGCCACGGCUUGACCAAUUAAAGGCUGAACUGACCUUGCAACACCUACACACACCAGCUUGCAGAAAGAAGUGAUGUACAGCAGUUGUGACACUAAGCGUCAGGCUGCCGCUGACAUCCCACAAUUCAGAGACAGAGACUGAGAUAAUGUGCUUCUUGUACAUUGUGUGUCAUUUUACAUGUUAUAGAAGUAUCGAAAUACAUGUAGGCCUACCUGGAUAAUUUCUGAAUCAUUCCAUUCAGUUUGCACUUAAAGGCGUGCUUGAUUGCAGGAUCAUAAAAUUUACGGCAGCAUUUUCAUCAGAACCCAAGAAUUAUGAAAUACAUUUCCUGUUGUUAUCUAAGAUUCUCAUACUUGGGCUUUAUAAUCUAAACUUCCUGGCUUUUCAAACUUUGUUCUUUUAAAAGUUUCUUCUGUGUUUUAGUAACAUGUGUUAUGAUUUAUUAAUCGCUCUCAUUCGUUCUAUCAAUUUAAAUUGUUCAUAUUUGUAUUGGUUCCUGUUCAUAAUGCAUGAUUGAUCAUAAUGACAGUCACACUGAAUUAAAAAAAAUUGUUUUUGCAUUGAUGAUAGUAUUUCAUUGCGAGUAACAGGACCUUAGAAAAAUGUUUAGCACAAACCAUGCAAGAGACAUCCAAUGUGUGUUUAAUAGUUUUUGCAACAUAUCAUCUGGACCUUUCGUAUUUGUGAAAGAUCACUUUCAAAAAGUACAUACAGAUAAUUGGCAACAGCUUGCAAGUACAGGUAGUUUGUACUCAUUCUUCAUAUUAAUGGCGGGUUAUAGAUCUGUUUAUAUAUAACAUCCAUACAAAUUGUUAGCUGUGUGUUACAUAUAUGUGUUUCUUCAUUAGCUAAUUUCUACCUAAUUAUUAACUUUGAAAAACUUUAAAUUCAUACCCAAUAGUUCAGAUACUAAGUUUUUUCAAAGAUAAUGCACUUCUAUUUUUGGUGUGAACAUUUUGAAAAAUAACAUUAAACUCAAGAGUCAUGGAAGCAUUUAUUUUAUAACUAUAUAGGUAUGUAAGAAUCCAUAUAUGUAAGAACAGAAUUCAGUUGUCCCAAUCUGUUGUUACAGCUUGUAUGAUUGCAGUAAUAUUACCUAUACAGCUAUGAACAGUAAUGGUACUGUAUAUAAUUAUUUUAGUUUUUGUAGAAAUGCGAAUAUUUUGUAUGAGUUUUCAACCUUUUGAACAUUUAAACCAAUUUUGUUUUAUACUGUUGCAUGAUGGACCAUUGUUGCAAGUCGCAUAAUACAGAUUUUGAAAUGGUAGAUUAUUUUUGAAGAUCUGCUUUGACAUUUUACUGCAAGUAACUGAACCUAAGACAAAACUUGCAGAGUGUAGUUACUCGCCAAGUACAGUAUUUUUACUCGUGUUUUUGAGUCAUUUUUAAAGCACUUGUAGACGCAGGUUAACUUGCAUGAAAAUGUAUCUAUUAUGAAUCGAUUUUUUUUCCAGCUAGCUCAAAUGAUUUGAAAGAAGACUCUCAACAGCUUUCUUCAGAAACUUAUCAAUUUAUUGUAUGAAGUGACAACCUUGAACUCGCAGGUCCUUGAGAAAUGGAGAUUUUGUAGGUGGGGAAAAAUGGAGCACUUUCAUAUGCAUUUUGAAGUAAACUUCGCUUUAGUUUUUAAAAUAAACAGUCAUCACUAAAACUAAGUGCAUUUACACAGCGUACA